rnacentral:lncRNA from 1 species
GUAGCUGACCUUGUAUACCCGAUCCUCAAAACUACGUAGUUUUGUGUACCCCUUUCCUUUUCUUUAAUUACAUCGAUUUCUUCUUAUUUUCUGUAACAUUUCUCACCCCUUGUCCGACCGACGUUCCCAUCCGCCACCACCACCCACCCGUUUUUCCUCUUCCCUUCUUACUCUUCACCGGAAGUCCGCAUCUUCACCAAAUCGAUUUCAUAGAAAUUAGAAUUCAAUUCAUAGAGUUCCCAUAAAUCUCAUUAUUUCUAUUUCAUUGAUUCAUUCUUUCUUUAUCGCCAUCUCAUUCUUUCUCUGUCGCCGACUCAUUCUUUCCUCCUCACUUGUCACUCUUCACCGGAAAUCACCAUCACAAAAUUGGAACUGGGUCCUAGGGUCCAUGGGUUAUCGAUGCUUAUUGAUUUGAAAAAGAUUGUGAUUUAAGGUAAUACAUUUUGUUCCUUUUUGUUCUUUGAAGUAUGGAGUUUGUUCGUUUUGUGAGAGUUUUAGGGGCAAUUUUCUCAUGUAAUUCUAACUGCAACAUCAAUUUACAUUACGAAUUUUCAACAUCCAUCACAUCACAAGGAGUUGGAAAUGGUUGUUGAUGUUUCGAUAUAGAGGAAUUGUGAAAGUUUAACUUCCACCCACCAGCUGUUCGACAUAAUGCCACCAGCUAUUCAUUUUUUUUUGAUUUGUUAACUAGGUAAUCUUGUAUAUUUGUAUAUAUAUUUGUAUCAUUUGUUGUUGUUGUACAAAAGACCACUUAUGUGAUUUUAUCCUUUUGUUUCUCAAGAAACCGGCUAAUGGUUCUUGAUAUAUAUAAGAAUUAGAAUAUUUAUAAUGCUUAUAAAAGAAACAUGGAAUUUAAAGGUUUUUCUUACUUGUUGCUACAUGUGCAGCAGGUUCUCAUGGAUAAUAUUUUGCUCCUGUGUACAUACAGCCAAUAACAAUGUUGUAUAUGUAAAUUAGAAGGGCAAUAAUGUCAUGCGUCGCUAAAAAAAAAAUUUCCAUUCGUCUUGGGAAUCAGUGUUUCCUUUGCUCAUUUUUCAUCCAUCCAAAAAACAGGAUACACAACUUUGCCUCAAAACAAAGUGUCGAACCAACAUUGCAAUUGUCUUUUGGCGACCCAACAUGAGCAAAAUCGUCUAACAAGGGAAAAAGCCAUCACACUUAUGUGUUAAAGAUGUACCAGUGAUCAUGGAAGUUAAUGUGAUGUAUGCAAGAUGUACCAGUGAGAUUGAAGUGUGUCUUGACUAGUUCUUUGUAGCUAAGGGUUUCUGCUCAUGUGUUUAGUAAAUAAAUUAUUGGUAGUUUGAUUGUGAUUUGAAUAGCUUCCAUGUUCUUGUUUUGGUAUUUGUUUUUCUUUCUCUUGCGUUGACCUUUUAACUUGGUCAACAGUUAUGUAACUUAAAAAGGCAAUGCAAUUUCGUAUUUUGACUAGGUAUGUUUUAAUACUAUAAGAUUGUAGAAUUGAUUCUUGACAGCUACCUAAGUUGACUAGUUUGAGUUAAAAGAAGAUACCCUAUAAUUGGAAAAGUGGAAAAAUAAUGAAAUUUUGAGGCUAUUUUGUGGAAAAAGGAAAAUAUGAGGCUAUUUAUUAUGCUAUUAUGUGAAAAAAAAAGUAUGUUGCUGUUAUUGAUUAAAAAAGAAAGUUAAUGAUGUUAUGUGUUUAAAAUGAAAGUAAGAUGUUAUCAUUGGGAAAAAGUCCCAUCAUUUUUCACAAUGUAAUUUAACAAACACAUCAUACAACCAACUAGGAAAUUUGGAAAGUUAGUUUUACACACAAAAUUCAUUAAAACAAUAAAACCUCUAUCAAUAUACAAUGGUGUUUUGUACAUUUGUGCUUUGUUUUUCACCACUUGCAUUAGAGAUUUGGGUAACAUGCUGGUCCCUAAUCAAAACUUCUAGUGGGACUGAUAGUGGGAAUCCAUGGAAAGGUCAAUAUGAUUAUAUACAAUGAAGAUACUAUAUCCCAUGCUUCAUCAUAAGGUUUUCCAUUAUCAAUGGCUUCAAGUUUUGCUAAUUCAGAUUUCUUCUCAGCUAUCUGCACAUGAAAAGCUUAUGAACUUUGAUAAAUCUCCAAAACAAAGAAAAUAAACCACUAAAAACUAAUUUAUUAACUAGAAAACCCGUAAAAUUUCAAUAAAACUAAACACGCACCUUUGUAGCAAUGACAUGCAAAUACUUGGCACAAUGUGCUCCAGAAAGUUGUUGCCCAGUCUUUUCCUCCAUUGCGUUUAAGAGCUCUAUGAGUUGCUUUCACAACAAUUUCAACAUCUUUAGAUGUAGCUGGUGGGAUAUCCCCUGCAACGAUAACGGUCCGUCAAAAAGUUCAUGUGCGUUCACUUUAAAUCCAACAUCACUGCCAUAGAAGAAAAGGGUAUAAAUUAGCUUUCGAAUAUAGAUGAAAACAUACAAUUUUUAUUCAUAUAAAAAAUGAAAAAAUAAUGUUAUGAUAGGAGAUGACAUUUUGUCGAACACCUAGUGGGCUUCUUUUAAUAUAGUUGCAAAUGAAAAACCAUGUGAGAUUCACAAAUCACAACUUAACAUCAAAAAUCGAUUUCACACUCACACUAAAUCAUAAAUCAAUUUUGAGUCAAAGUGAAUAAGUCUCGAUUAUUCAAAGAUCAAACUUACAGAAAUGAAAUAACUUCGGGUUCUAGUUUUAUGAAUUCGAGCUUUAGAUUAAAUCAAAAAAAUUAAAAGAUUGGGAGAAGAAAUCGACUAACCGUUAGGGGUCUUGAGAAAAGGAAGUCGUUUGAUUUCUUGCUGACAAAUGGAAGUCGUUCCCUCCCUAGGUCCUUAGGGUGUAAGCCAUGUGUGCUAGUUUUGGGGCAAAUCGAACUGCCGGGAAGAAUCGAAGGACUUACAACAAUCGAAUGAGUCACAACAAACACCCAUCUUCGUAAUAGGAGUGGACGAGAGCUAUAUGAGGAAGAAAGUAAGGUGCUGUUUGAUUUUCUGAAGCAAAAAUUCAUGAAGUCUGCGGACCACCUCUGCAACCCUCUGCAGUAGAAGAGGUGAACCAAACGGCUGCAGACUAUAAUUAAAAGCGUGUUUGUUUUUUUAACAGCUGCAUACUGCUGCAGAUAUUAAAAAAUUAAAAUAAACUAAUUUUAUAAACCGAAAAUAGCUUUUUAAUACGUAAAAUUUAAUAAUGUAUAACAUUUCGGUAAAAAUUAAUGAUAUUUCAGUAAAAAAGAAUGAUAUUUCAACAAAAAAUAAAGAUAUUUUCAGUAAAAAAUAAUGAUAUUUCAUCAAGAAAUUAUUAUUAUUGAAUAUAAAAAAAUGAAAAAUAAAUUCAAUAAGAAUAAAUGAAAAAAAAGGGAAAAAAAAUAUGAAAUAAAAUUUUAAUAACAUAUAAUCAAAAUUUCAGCAAUAAAAUAAGAAGAAGAAGAGGUUGGAAGAGGUUGGAAGAGGCAGUACAAGUGCUGCGCCAAACAGAGCACGCGCAGAGGUUUUUGACUCAGAAGGCUUCUAAAAAACAAACAGCUGCGAGAUUAAAAGUGCUGCGCGUGUGCUGCGCCGCGCAGCAGUAAGAGGUUUGAAGAGGUUUUUUCCAAAAAACAAACAGCACCUAAAUCUCCGUUAACUUCAAACGACGUCGGAUAGUUACUUUGGGUAUNAUAUAUAAAAUGAGAAUUUAAGGGUGGAUCUGGGCUUUCUCUGGCUCUCAUGUGGAUCCAUCCUUGAUAUGUAGUGCUGGUAACAACAGUUUUGAGCAGACUACACCACCUCCUGACUAUGUGUGCCACAUAUACAAAACCCCAUGUAGAUUAAUAAAGUCUUGAUGAUUGUUCUUUUCUUACGACAUUGAUUAAUCAUUGUUGAUAAUUGCUCUUUUAUUAUUGUAUUAAGUGAUACAGGGGAUAAGUUUUUCAGGGGCCCAAAUGCUAAUUAUCUAAUCGAUCACUCCACGUACAUUCACAAAAGGCAGAAGAAGGUACACACAAAGAAAACGGUUGAUUAAUCAAUAAUCAUUGAAUAUUUGUUUAGGAAGGCAGCAAAUUAGCGAGUCAGUGGCGUUAGACUUACACAACUAGUCUCUUGGUCAAUGUUAGAGUUUUCUACUUUUAUUUUUGUUCCAUUGUUCCUUUUAUUUUUGUUCCAUUGUAUCUUAUAAGAAACAGAUAAACUGAAUGUUGAAUACUUAUCAGAUCAAAUUAUGUUAUAUUAUCAGUUAUGAUUGAAUCAGAAAUCAAAAAUUCUGAAUGUUGAAUUAGAUUAUAGAUUAUUAUAAAUCAGAAUGUUGAUUUGUUGCAUCAAAUUGUAGUUUUCUAGUUUUCUAAAUGUUGGAAUUCCGAAUGUUGAAUGAAAUCAUAUUAUCAGAAACUAAAUGUUGAAAAUCUGAAUAUUGAAUGAAAUCAGAUUAUCAGAAACUGAAUGUUGAAAUCAAAACAUGUUAAUAGUUUAUCAGAAACUAAAAUCAGAUUAUGCAAUUAUGUUUAUUAUUUAAUUGUUUAUCAGAAAUCAUAUAAUCUGAUUUAUGAUUAUCAGUUGAUGUAACUUAUUGUUUAAUUGUUUAUCAAAAAUCAUAUAAUCUGAUUUAUGUUUAUCGGUUUAUAUAAUUUAAUUCGUUACACGUUAGAGUCUAAAGAUAUUUUUUUUGUACUCGUCUUGGGUAUUUGAAUAUUCAGAAGCGACCCCGUAAAUAUAACACCACAAGAAGUGUUCAUUCUUUUCCAUGAGUCUUAGUUCAAGUGAGAGAAUAUUAUCUUUCAUUCUUAUUUUUUCUAAAUAACAACUGAUAGUAUUAUGUUGGAGGCACCUAAGACAAGUGAGUGAGUCGGGAAAUGUAAUUUUGUGGGUGAAUAUAUAAAAACGAGUAUUUACAUUUUUGUUCACUAAAUUUAACUGAUUUUAACAAAUUUGUACCCAAAAGUAGAGAUUGAACUGGGAGUGUCAGCUUGAACCCAUUGAAGUUGUUUGGUUGAACACAUGUCAUUAUGACACUAACAUUCAACCCCCAAGUGACUAUGUUAACAAAAUUAAUAAGGGUGUUAAGAAAAGCGUUGAUACUAACGAAAAUGAACAUUUAUAUCUUACACAGAAAAAAAAAUGAAAUUUAUUAUCUAAAUUACAAACUAUUUAGAGUUCAUUUUUUUUAGCGUUUCAUGACAUUUUUUUGGAUCUUGUAUUCAUUUUUGAGUAUUUUGUUUAUUUCUAUAAAUUAAUGUUAAAAUUGUCUUACAAUUAAUAUUAUCUUGGAUUCAAAUUGGGUUACCACAAGUAUAAUGGUCGUUUUUACAUUGGUCAACCUAUCAACUAGUUAAAUAUAUGAAGCAAUGUGGUAAAAGUCUAUUGAAUUAAUAAUAAUUCCUUCAAAUAAAAAUUAGUUGCAUCUUUAUAACAAUUAUCGUCGUAAAAAAUCUACCCUAAUAAAUAAGAAUGAUUUUGCCACAUGUCCUUCUCUCAUUCAAUUUGCCACAUGUCAUUUUGUUAUAAUUUAAAUUUAAAGAUAUAUUUAUUUUCCACUUGUCAUUUAUUUCAUUUUCCAUUUCUAAUAUAUUAUUAAUUAGUUUCCAUAAAUUAAACCUACCAUAAUGAUAUUAAUUUUAAAUUUUAAAUUUUAAAUUUUAAAUUUUAAAUUUCAAUUUCAAUUUCAAAUAAAUUUACAGUUUAAACCUCUGUGUUUAACAUUUUGUUAUAAUUAACUUAUUUAGUAUACGGGUCUGAUAACUAAACAAUAAUUUUAAUUUAUUUAUUUUUUGCAUGUUUUUUUUUCUCAUAAUUUUUAUUUAUUUUAAAAUUCAAAUUCAAAUAAACUUCUCAUUUAAUCGUUUCUAUUUAACAUUUUGUUUUAAUCAACCCGUAUAAUAUACGGGUUUCACAACUAGUUACAUUAAUAGGUUUUUAGUAUUUCAUUAGAAAAGGUAUUGUUAAUUAAUAAAAGUAUACUUAUAUGUUAGUAACCAAUUAAUAAAAAACACUUAGUUACAGAAUUCGGUAAAAACUUAUAAAUUAAUACAAUUAAAUUAAUUUAGAAUAAACAGAAGUUACCAAGUCAAAGAUCGCAUCCCCACAACUUCUCCACAACUCUCUCUUCCACUCUCUUCAAAAUAACCAACUCCUUAAUUCAAAUCAACCUUAAAAGCACUCUUUACUUAACGUAAACCACCACUAGCAAUCUUUCUCCCAAAAACCCUAUACAAGUUACAACCAUGAAGAACACGAUCACCAUUUUCAUGGCAGUAGCCUUCUUCUCCUCCAUUCUCACAGUAUACUCCAUCGAAUUUCAAGUUGGUGGUGACAAAGGGUGGGUUAUUCCCACCUCAAAGGAUAGUACUGAUCUCUACGACGUAUGGGCUUCCAAGAAUCGUUUUAACAUCAACGACACACUUCGUAAGUUAUAAGUUGUAUGUUUAUUUGGUAUCACAAAAAGAAAUUUUAAAAGUUUAUACAGUAUUGUAGUAAAAAGAAAUAGAACUAAGGUAUGGAAGUACAUUGUUGUUUCUUGCAUUUAACCCCUACAUAGUAUAAAAAAGUCUCAUAAAUGUGUAGAUUUUGCAUACAAGAAGGAUUCAGUGUUGGUUGUGAGCAAAGAAGAGCAUGCAAAGUGCAAGUCAUCGCACCCUAUCUUUUUCUCCAACAAUGGUGACACUACUUUUGAAAUCGAUCGAUCUGGAUAUUUUUAUUUCAUUAGUGGAGUUUCAGGGCACUGUGAACGUGGACUUAAGAUGAUUGUGAAGGUUUUGGAGCAUGGAAACAUUGCUCAAACUGCAAACCAAACUUCUACGAACAGCAGUGAAGCGGUUUCAUUAAAGAUGGAUAGUACAGUAUGUUCGCAAAUUGUUAUCAUCGUAGGACUCAUCUCAAUGCUUACAGUUUUUGUGUAAUUUAGUAAUUAGAAUUUGGAUGUUUUGUUAAGUACUUAGAAGACUUGUUUAGAGUAAUUAAGUAUCAAGGUUAAAAUAAUACAUUUAUGAGUUUUUUUUUAGAAAUAAAGUCAUUAAUAAUAGUAUCAAGGUUGAUAUUGUCCAAAAUAUCUUUUUUGAUGCAUAACUUAGAUAAACCAUUUAUUUUUUUGAUGUGAUGUGAUAUUGAUGAUCUUAAAUAAUUUUUUAAUAAAUUCAAUUUUAAAAAAAACUUUUUUCCAUCAAUGAUAUGGGUAAAGUUAAUAAGUUUUGAUAUGCAAUAAAACGAUGUUAAUAUUCUUUUUUUACAAACUCUAAGAUUUCAAAUGUAGACAUAAAUACAUUUGACAAAAUAAUUUGCAACACUUUGAUUUCCGAAAACAAAUUAUUUGAAUCUAUAUCACAUGAGUUAUUACAUGAGUUAUUAUGAGAAAUUUGUUUUGCAGACAUAAUACAACACUUUUUAAGCUCAAUAUCAUCUAAUGAAUUCAAUAUUUUUGAGUCAUAAAAAAACCAAAAACAUUUUAAAAAAUCGUUAAUUAUUCAAAUCUAUAUUUUAAUGAAGCAAUGGUCAUAUCAACAACAACAAUAAUAUACUCAAGUUUAAAAGAUUUUUAAGGUGACUAUAAUUCAUAUUCAUUAUCAGUUUUCAUCAAAUUGUUUUCUCGUUUAAAAGAUUUUUAAGGUGACUAUAAUUCAUAUUCAUUAUCAGUUUUCAUCAAAUUGUUUUCUCUAAUAAUUCGGCGUCUUAUUGGAAAGGUAGGUUCAACAUCAAUACAAAAUUCAAUGACUUUAGAACCUUUAUUAUAAUCUUUUCCAUUUACAUCAUCAAUAUUAUGAUCUAAUGAUUUUAAUGCAUCUAAUAGAUCAUUAAAAGUCUUAAACCUGAAGUAUCAUCUACCUUCAAAAAUUAAAAAAAAAAUUAUUCGUCAAUUUUUAUUUUGUUACAAGACAUAUUCACACAUCGAAUAGCUAAAGUCAUUUGUUUUAUAUAUAGCUACAUCAGUGUACAAUAAAAUAUUAUAGAAAAAUAUUUUGCUUUUUAUUUAAUUUUAAGUAUAAAUUUUUACAUUAUUAGCUAAAAUAGAUUUUAGUUCAUUUUGAGUUGUUGAACAUAGAUAAUGAUUAUAAGUUUCAUGAUUUUUUAUAUGGUUCUUGUAUUAUAUUAUUAAAUUUUGUCAUCAUUUGAAUUACUCCUAUAAAAUUACUGUUAUUUUUUAGAUUAAUCUUCUCGCUAGACCUCCGAAAAGCGAAAUUGUAUUUGGACAAAUAUUUUACAGCAACAAUGAUUCUUAUUAAAAACUUGUAAUCACCGUUAUUUUUCUUUUAUAUUUUUUUUGUUGCAAAUCUUUAUCAAUCGUUUAUUAUUAUCAAAUAUUUUUUAACCAAUUUCCAAGAAUAAAUAGGAAUAAGAUGAAUAGUGCUAUUUUCAAUUUCAUGUUCGUCAAGUCUAUUGAAAAUGUGUUUCUAAUUAUUAAACCCAUCAUUUUCUAAAGAAUUAUUAUUAUUAUUAUUAUUAUUAUUAUUAUUAUUAUUAUUAUUAUUAUUAUUAUAUGCACCAAUAAGAAAAAAAUAUGUAGAUAAACUAUCGAAAACACAAGAUUUAGUUCUCGAAUUAGCCAUGUUCAAUUAAAAGUUCUCGUAAUUUAUCGUCAAUAAUAUCCCAAUUACUUGGACCAUAAAUGUUUAAAGGAGGAACAAAUUGUUGUUCAUUCUCAUUCGUAACAUUAUCAUUAUCAUUAGUUAUAUUUUCAUUCUCGUUGAUGAUAUUUUCAUUGGUAUUAGUGGCAUUCUUAUUUUUAUUAAAAAAAUUAUGUUUUUUGUUAGCGGUAUUUUCAUCCUCAUUAGUACUAUUAGCAUUAGAAGUACCUAUUUCUAUCAUAAAUUUAUCCAUGAAUCCUUUUUGAGCCGGUGUUUCUUGUUGGAUUUUUUAUUUUAUUUUUUCCGAUCUCACCACCAGAUAAAUGUUCUCUAGGAAACAUAUUAUUACUUUAAACUUACAUCACAAUGAAUAUGAGAAAAAACAAGUAAAAGAAACGAAAACACAUGAUUGUGAUUUUUUUUGGUGUUUCUAGGCUCCAACAACAAUUAUUCAUCAAUAUUACUUCAAAUUUCAGAAACAAAAAAAUGUAAUGCCUCGUUUUCACUUUAAAGAUUUAUAGAAUGAAAAUAACUGUUUAUAAAAGGAAAAGCAAAAAUAUAACACUUUUAAGCUGAAAUGAUCUAAAUGAUAGUUGUAGUAGACGAAAAUAUGAAAUCGUGGAUAUAAAGAACGUCGAAAAUGGAAGUUGUAUGAGAAAGUUACAAUCAUCCAAAGAUAACGAGAAAAUAAUAGUUUCCAGCGCAGCAGCAACCCGAACACCAAAACACCAACUAUCUUUUGUGAGGUAGCCAUGUGGCGACGUGGUUUCCAAGAUUUUUGGCCCCUAUAAAUACCAAGCCACCCUUCUUUUAUUCGUUGCUAAUUUCGAUCGAAUUUCUGUAUCAACCCUUGAGAUUUUAGUCCAUCGUGAUUUGAUUUCUUCAUUCUUAUGAAUAGCUUGACGAAGCGCUAGAGCGUUGGUGAAUCUUUUUAGAAAAGGAUUCGGCGUCAAAGUUACAUUCUCCGUUUUUAUGAGUUUUUUUUUUGUCAAUCAGGUAAAUUACACUUUUGCUUAUGUAACUUGAUAUAGUGUAUAACCAUUUUCGCUUUUAUGAACUUGAUUACGAGAUUAAUCAAUAAUUCCAAUUAUUACACCGAUUGAUCUACUUACAAGAAUAAUGUCUAAGAUGGACAUGUUAGCUUGAUUGUUGGAUUUCAUAAAGGCUAUAUGCCGAAAUGAUUUUGCUUCCUAACUGUCUUGACUGGCCAAUCCUUAUUUGAUAGUUAUUUCAAUAUUAAUGAGAUUAGUGAAGGAGCUAGAUAGUAGUUACUAGAUUCCAUAGUUAUUAAUUUGUUAUAGUAUUAUAAGUUAAUACGUACUUGGCGUACCUGCUCUCCAGUUGAACUAUAGUUAGCUGUUCAAGUGAGUUCCACCAACUCAUUUAUUAUGUUUAUUAUGCUUUUAUAUGUAUGUUAGGAAGUAGAUAUGUUGUAGUAUGUUGUAAGGAAAGUAGACUAGCUUAGUCGUUUGCAUGUUGUUGUUGGAUUGUCUAUUUGUUUGUUGUAUAUGUAUAGCAUGUCUAGUAAGUGUAUAGGUUAGAGGAAUGGACUAACAAAGGAUAUCCUACAUGGAAUCAGUUAGAGGAAGGCAAUCAUGACAAAUGUGUGAUCAGUCAUCCCUCGAUCAUAAAAUUUGUAUAAUCGGUCCUCCUUAAUGUAUCCAGUAAGGACCUAUGUAUUAGGGUCCAUUACCCCAUUAUUGGGAAGUAAGGACUAGGGUAUUAGGGGAAGGGCAAUCAUGACGCGAUGUGUGAUCAAUUGCCAAUAGAAGUCCAUUACUCCUUUAUUGGGAAGUCGAGACCAGGAUUGUAAUAGUAUAUGAUAGGAUUGAUAUGUAAACCUAUGUGCUAUUUGAAAGUAUAUGAUUAUUAUAAUGGCUGAGUAUUGUGUAGAGCUCACUAAGCGUUUUUUCUUACCCCUGACUUAUUAUAUUAUCAGGAUUUACGUAUAAGAACCCAGCGUAACUGGAACAACAUCCACAAUUUAUUAUUUAAAACUACUUUGAUAAUAUAAUGUCUUCUGCUAUUUACUCUUAAUGAUAAGGUAUUAUGUAACACCAAAAUUGUAACAACCCAAAAAUCCAGAUAAAAUUUUUCAUUUUUAAUUAAAGUUUACAACCAUGAGUAUGAUACCGAAAAUCCAUUACAUAAUCAGCAUCAUACAAACUCAUCAGAGUGUCCAUAUCAGUGACUACGGAAAAUAGUGGAGAGUGAAUGUUGCGCCAUCAACCGGACCCUUCCUUUAGAACCAGACACACCUGAAAUCACAGUACAAACAUUAAGCUAAUGCUUAGUGAGUUUUCCCAAAAUAACACACACCAAUAAUACAAAUGGGCCCGACACUAGGGUUCAUCCCAACCCAAUAACAAGUAUGGGCCUCGCCCUGGGUUAUAUUACAACCCAAGUAUAUCAUAGUGGGCCCCGCCCUAGGGUAUAUUUCAACCCGUUAUGUCAUACUGAGCCCCCCCGGGGUAUAUUUCAACCCAAUCACAACGUGUAACAUAAAACGAAUAACAUACUACAUAAAUGGAUAAUGCGCCGACCUUGGUGCCUUUGACCCAUGGUUAUAGUGAGAAGACUCACCUUAGACUGCUGGUAAAAAAUACUGCUUGGCUACUGGUCCCAAAAUCUCGCAUUGAAUAUACACAAGUUAUCCUAAUUAGAAUUAAAUCACAAACUCAAGACAUAGGCCCAAAAAUCCUAAGUCCAAACUCCUUCAUUAAGGCCCAAAAGUCUUUCCUUCAUUAAUGGGCCUAACAUCUAAAGUCCAAAACAAUAAUGGGUCACAAGGCCCAACCAUGCCCUUUAUGGUCAAAAAAAAAGUUCAAAGGCCCAAUACUCUAAUAGAUCCAUGCCCAAGGUUAAUUAGCGCCCAAAUGGCUCAAAAGUCCGUCGAAAUCCCAAAACCCAUUGGAAGGUACACCCAACAUACAUCUUAAUUACACUUAGCUUACUAAGUUCUUGGGCAGUACGUGCAGUGUAUAAACUAGUACGAACAACGUACAAGCUACUUUGCACAAAAAGCCAUUAAUUGCUUAAUACAUGAAGAUUCUUCAUCCAAUUCCAGAUCUUGGUCAUUUUCAAGAUCCUAGGGCAUAAAGUUGGAAACUUUAUGCCUUUGCAUGCAAUAUGGGAACCUAACACCUCAUUUUAUCUAUUAAGAAUCCCUUUAAGACCUUAAACUCAUGCAUGGUGCCAUAACAACCAUCAAGUUAGCAUUUUUUUGCUUUUAACAUGCCAAAGGAACUCAGGUCUAACAUUCCUAACCUAUGGAGUUGCUCAAACUCACAUGAGAGGAUCCAUGGACAAAAAGUGGACUUGUUACUAAACCCUAACUCAAACUAGCAAAAGGAUUAGCAAGAUAUGAACCUUUUACCUCCAAAAGCUCUCCAAGAUGAUCUAUAAGCAGGAUCUACAAGCUUUCCUACAUCUAAGACUUGCUCACCAGUUCCUUUUCCUUGCUAACACACUAAAAUAGGUUACUUUAGGCACCUUCAAGCUCAAGAAUCACUCUCAAUGGAACUAGGGUUUUAGGGAUGUUUAAAGGCAAUGGAGGCUGGUAAGGAAGAGGGUUCAAGGUCAUAAAUAUGCUUAAAUUGGGCUUAAGUCCGAGAUUUAGGGUUUUAGCCUUUGGCUUCGUACGCACCACGUACAUGCUUGUACGCCCCGCGUACGCGCCUAAGCUACCCGACGCAUCCACUUGUGUAUGCUAAGCCUACAUACAUGUACGGCCAACGCACGGAGGGUCCUACUUUGCAACUUUAAAAUUCAUCAUGGGCUUAAAAUGAAAUACCUGGAUUUUGGAUGUUACAACUCUUCCCCACUUGAAUUAGACUUCGUCCUCGAAGUCUGCCCACAUAAAUAAAUCUGGGUAAUGCUCUCUAAUCUUGUCCUCCAGCUCCCAUAUCCAUUCAGAACCCUCCAGUGCUACCAUUGCACCUUCAAUAGCUUCACCACUUUCUUAUGAAGAGCAUUAGUUUUUCUGGCCAACAAUGUAAUGGGCUUAACAACAUAGUUCAGGCUCUCAUCCACCUGAAUAUCAUCUACCGAGAUAACUGCAUCCUGAUCUACUACACACUUCCCUAACAGAGACACAUGGAAGGUGUUAUGGAUCUGACUGAGCUCAUCAGGGUGAUCCAGUCGAUAAGCAACCCUGCCAACUCGGGCAGAAAUCCUGAAUGGACCAAUGAAUCGAGGACCCAGCUUGCCCCUCUUCUGAAAGCGGAUGACACCUUUCCAAGGUGAAACCCUCAACAAUACAAAAUCUCCCACCUGAAACUCGAGAUCCGAUCGAAAUCGGUCAGCAUAGCUUUUCUGACGACUCGCAGCCUAUCGUGCACAUGUUGAAUCAACUCACUGGUCUUAAGCACCACUUCGUGCUUCCCAUGACUUGAUGGCCAACCUACCCCAACAAAUCGGAGUCCUACACCUCCUUCCAUACAACAUCUCGAAUGGGGUUGGUCAAUACUAGCAUGAUAACUAUUGUUGUAGGAGAACUCUACUAGUGGGAGGUAAGUAUCCCAACUCCAUCUAAAGUCUAAAACGCAUGCUUGAAGCAUAUCCUCGAGCAUUUGGAUUGUCCGCUCACUCUUCUCAUUGGUCUGGGGGUGGUAAGCUGUACUGAAGUGCAGUUGAGUGCCUAAAUCCUCAUGAAACUUCCUCCAAAAACUGGAGGUGAACUGAACAUCACAGUCCGAGACCACAGAUACCGACAUUCUGUGCCUGAUUACCACUUCUCGAACAUAGAUAUCCCCUAAUUUCUCGGCGGGUAUACUCUUAGCAAUCGAAAUAAAGUGAGCACUCUUGGUCAGCCUAUCAAGAAUAACCCAAAUAGAAUCAACACCCUGCUCCGUCCUAGGUAGUUUCGUGAUAAAAUCCAUGGUGAUCUCCUCCCUUUCCACAUGGGGAUGGGUAACGGCUGGACCUUGCCGUGAGACCUUUGAUGCUCGACUUUGACCUUCCUACAGGUCAAACACCGUUCAACAAACCAAGCAACUUCCCUCUUCAUGCAGGGCCACUAGUAGCUCAAUAUCCGUUCUUGGUACAUCUUCGUGGCCCCCAGAUGAAUAGAAAACUUAGACUUAUGCGCCUCCUUCAAAAUCUUCUGCCUCACCCCACCAAAUUCUGGAACCCAAACCCUACCACACUGAGUCAAUAAUCCUCGACUGUCUCUGAAAAACAACAGAAUCUGCCCCCUAAUACGCUCAGUCUUCCAAAUUUCCUUUUUCAAUAUUUCUACCUGAGCCUCCUUAAUCAUAUCCAUCAAUGGUGAGGUAACCAUCAUCCUCAAAUAAAUAUCUCGGAUUAGAGAACACGCUGUUGGAUAAGGUCUCUAAGUCCAUAACUAUAUUUGGUAUGUACUUGACCCGUCCCGGCAUGGUCCAUUUGGGUUGCAUGGCAUCAUGCAUUUGGAUAGACUAAAUGAGAGAAAUAACACUUGUGGUUUAUUAAUAUAUUAUAAGUUCUAAUAUAUUAAUAGUAUUAUUUAAUUAGUAUUGAUCAAGCAUUAAUUAAGUGAUCAAAAGAUAACUAAUUAAAUAUAUGGGUUGAUUAUGUAAAUCAUCCAUAACUUGUAUAGUGGGCUAAAAGGCUCCAUGGAUUAUCAAGUUGGGUUAAACCCAUAGGAUGCUCCAUGGAUGCUCCAUGGGUCAUGGAAAUGAAGAGUCAUGUCAAAUUAAGGUUUACAUGGUGUAACCCUAGAUGUGACAUACUAUAUAAGGAUCAUUAUACUUACCAAAAUCGUGUACACACUAAGAACAAGAGAGGGCAAGCCGAUUUAUACAAGUGUUAUACAUACUCUAAGUUAUUCCAAAGCAUUUGGUGUUGUGUGAAGCAUUUGAGGCAUCACACUUGGGGUGCUAGGCUCACAAGGUUUCAAGGAUCCAAAAUCAACUACAAGGUAUGUAUUUCUAGAUAUCCUUUUAGGAUUAAAGUUCCCAUGUAUGCUAGAUAGGAUUAUGAACCUUGGAAACCAANCUUUUAGAUUAAAAGUUCCCCAUGUAUGCUAGAUAGGAUUAUGAACCUUGGAAAUCAUAUUUUGCAUGUAUUUUAGACAAACAUAGAUCCAAGGUUUUCUAGGGUUGCAUGUACACAUAGGGGUGUUAGAAUGCUCAAAACCCAUCAGUGGUAUCAGAGCCUAGGCUUGUUUGUUAAUACUUGAUGCAAAAUAGUGUAAAAAAUCGAUUUUUGAGUUGUCUACGCAGGGGACUCGACGAGUCCAAGUGAAAAUGCAACCAACUCGGCGAUUCAGUUCGUGUACUCGACGAGUUGGCCAGGCAGAGUGCAGAAUUUUGAUUUUUGCUGUUGGAAAUGGACUAGAAACAUUACCUUAAACUGUUUUGGUGUUGUAAAACUUGUUUUAGAUGGUUUAAUGGUUGUUCUAAUCCAUUUAUAAUGGCCAAUAUCAAUUUUUCAUGAUCUUAUGGGUUCAUAUGUUCUUGAAACUUUGAUAUGAAUAUUCAUGUUCUUAUGAGUUUUUGAUAGAUCAUAGGAAUUACUUGUUUAAAUGUUUAAUUCAUGAUCUUUAUGUGUUUUAAUGGAGUCCAUAACUUGUCCUCAAGUUAUGGAUAACCAAAAGUCUCUUUGUGUUAAAAACCAUUAAAAGAACACAUAAGUUAUAAAAUGAAGAGUCUUCAUUUUAAUAACUCAUAAGUUAUGAAUUUGAAAGGUUUUGUAAAGUUACAAAACUUGCCCUCAAGUUUUGGAACAUGUAAAGUCACUUAAUAAACUUUAGUUCCAACCCCUAGAUUUUUANAGAGCAAUUUGUCUUAACAUUAGUAGACCUCAUUCACGAAGCUGGUCUAUAAGGGGGGUAUAAGGUUGCUGCCUAUAAAAUGACAGCUUAAUGGGUGUCCACUCUCACCCACGACUUCCUUGAUCAGUGGAGGGUCGUUAGCCGAACAGGUAGGACAAGGACUUAUAAAUUCUCAUUAAAAGUAUGAUGAAUAUUAUAAAGUAACUAAAUGUUUAAUUAAAUUCCCAAUCUUAGUUACUGUAACGUCCGUAGAUCCGGGCUAGUCAAUUUAGAGAUAAUAGGGGUCGAAAACGAAUUUUCGACAAAAGAUUAUUUAGAAUAAAUAAUCUUAACCAAGUUGUAGAAUAUGUCUCAAGGGUUCCAUAGAAAUAAAGAACGUCAAAAUCCGAGUUAUAACAAAGAAGUUAUGACCCGUCGAAUUUUCGCGACGGAACCGGCACGACACCGGGAAGCGUAAAUAGUGAAUUUACGAUAGAGCGACUUUUAGCCUUAGCGAUCUAAACAAAAAUUGUAGAAAAUGUUAAACCGAGAGUGUCCAUAAAAAGAACACCCAAAUCUGACUUCGUAUGAGGAAGUUAUGAUUUUUCUAAGAUUUGACAUAGCGGUGCAUGGCCCGAAACUCGAAUUUUAGUUCGAGCGGUUUUUGGCUUACGCGAUCUAAAUGAGAGUUUAAUAUCUCAUUAAUAGGAACUCAAUGACAAAAAGACAGACGAAAACGGAGUCCGUAUGUAAAAGUUAUGAAUUUUACGCGAACAUUUAACAGUGUAGUCACCUCCUAUUGUUAAAUUUAAGAUCGGUCGAGAAUUAGCCGACGGAGUAAAAAGGAAAGUUGUAGAUCUUAUUUUUACCUAUGCAUGGAUAUAAAUAACGUAAAAAACAGAGCUCGUAUGCAAAAGUUAUGGACGAAGCUUAGUCUCUACUUUUCUAGCGCGGCGAAUUCGAUCGAUACAGUUUUGUAAAUCCGAGAUAGAAUGAGAAUUAGCCAACGAGGUCUAAAUGAAAGUUGUAGUACUCGUAAAUACCAAUGCAUGGAUAUAAAUAACUUCAGAAACAGAGCUCGUAUGCGAAAGAUAUGGACGGAGCUUAGUUGCUACUCUUCGUGCGCGAUAAAUACGAUAUAGUUUUUGUAAAUCUGAGAUAGAAGGAGAAUUAGCCGACGGGGUCUAAAUGAAAGUUGUAAUACUUGUAAAUACCAAUGCGUGGAUAUAAAGAACGUAGAAAACGGAGCUCUUACGCGAAUGAUACAGACGAAGCUUGGAGACUACUUUACUAUAAAAUUCCUAUAAAUAAGAGAUGAACUCUUUAUAAUUUCUUCACACCAUAAGCCUUUCUUUCUCUUUAUAACUUCUCUCUAACCUCCCUAAACCCCUCCCAAGUCUAGGGAACCUCCCUAGCAUGAGAAGAAAGCCCCGGAGCGCCCGACGGCUCCGAGAAGAAAAGCUUUCGGCUCGGAAACGCUGCUCCAGCGAAGCCCGGUUUUUAAUAAAAACCCGUUGUAAGUGAGCUACGCAUAUACUAUAUUUAAUAUACCAUUUAUUUAAUUAUAGUAACGUUAUUAGGAACUUAUAAUAAGUACUUGAGCUAUUAUUAUGGGUUAUAUAAGUAUUGUUUAACGCUUAUAUAAUAGUAAUAAUAGCUAGACUAUUAAUUAGUCUUGGCGAAUAAUAGACUAAACUCUAGUGGUAAUAAUAUUAGGAUUCGUCGAAGGAAAUUAUUUUUAAGAAGCGAAGCGCUUUAUGAGUUAUGAAUCACCACCUUUUCAAGUGAGUGCAUGGUCCCUUUCAUCUUACACAUAGAUAUGAAGUAUUUAUAUAUAUUACGUGUUGUGAGUGCAUGACCCCUUUCAUCUUACACAUAGAUAUGAAGUAUUUUAUAUAAAUUACGUGCUAUAUGUGCAUAUUAUUUGAAUACUUGCUGUCUAUAAUGGAGGAAUGAUUUUAUACAUGUUUUAAAUGAUUUAAAAUGUAUAUUUAUUUUAUAUCUACAAAUAUGUUGGGAUAAAACAUAGGUAGAUGAAAUAGUUGGUGUGUGAUGAAAUAAAAUGAUGAGAGACAGGUGAUGAUAAUUAGGUGAUGAUAGAUAGGUGAUGAUGAAUCGGUGAUGUAGGAUGAAAGAUACUAUAACCUUGUCCGACAAUUUGGAGAUGUAGUCAUCUACCAGAAUAUAGAUGGCGACCACGGACUAUUCUAGACAACCCCGUGGAAACACUAGCAGGCUCAUAACCUGUAGGUGAUGAAUUACGAGUUCAGGCGAUGUUAUAACUACGUAUUCAUGCGAUGAUACUCUAACCCUUACUAUGAAUUACGAGUUAAGACGAUGUUGUAACUACGUAUUCAUGCGAUGAUACUCUAACCCUUUACUAUGAAUUACGAGUUCAGGAAACGUUGUAACUACGUAUUCAUGUGAUGAUACCCUAACCCUUGUUGGGCACGUAUUAAGGGAGUAAUCGUUAAAUCAAUACUGUCCAUGCAAUGUAGGCGAUAAUCCUUAGGGAGAGUCCAUAGGAACAAACAUAUAAGGAAAUGCGACGUAAGGAGAUGAGAGAUAAAUAUGAUGUAGGAGACGACCCUUAGGAUAAAUCCUUAGGGAAGGUACUUAGGAAUAAAGAAGAUAAUGGGGAUGGGUAAUUGGGUUAAUUGUUUGAUGAUUAAACAUAAUAAUUAUAUUAUUGUGAGUUGAAAACCCUAUGUACUCACCAGGUUUCCCAACCUGACCCACUUAGUUUACUUUUAUCACAGGUGACGAUGUGAAGUUACAUUACGCUGAAAGAUUAAGGAGAUAUAGAUCACUAGUGUAAAUUAAUGUAAGUUUUGUUUAUGCUUAUGUUUUUGUAUUGACGAUGACAUCCUAAAUAUUUUUAAAGGAAUAAAAAUACAUUUCUUCGAAAAUGAUUUGAUAAUGAAAUUAUCAUGUUUUUCUGGAAACAAAUUCCGCAACGUUUUUGUUGAAAGAGAUAUUCUGAUUUUUAUAAAGCAUAAACAAAAUCGGUCUUUUCUGGCCGUGAAAAUGGGGAUGUCAUAGUUACUUUAGGAAAAUGUGAAUAGGGUGGUAAUCCAUGAAAUUACACUUUACACUUUGAUUAAGUCGUUAGUGGAGCGUGUGUGGUUAACCGGCACACUAACCUGGACUUAACAAGGUAGGUAAAUGGUGACUUAAAGUUUAUCAUAGUAUCGGUGGAAUGCGUGUGGUUAACCGACANGAGCGUGUGUGGUUAACCGACACAUCGAUUGAGUGAUAAACUUUAAGGGUACCAAGUGAUUUGCAUGGUUACUUCACACCUCGUUUUGUGAUCCUCGGUAUCCCAGUCACAAAACUUGGAGGGCACACUCGAGAUUGAAACAUGCCUUUGAAAAGUUCAUUGAAUCUCAAAAGAAUCUAGGAAUUUUUAAGAACCAAUUAAAACCUAAUAAUUUAUAUUUUGGUUUUUGGUGGAAAUUGGCGAAUCGUCAUUCACCUACCUUUCAAAUAUAUUAUAGCUUAGAUUAUGGCAUACCUCUUCUAAGUUAUGAUAUAUUGUGAUUGAAUCCUAGCCUUAAUAUUACAUUUGGGUGUGUUAUUAAGGACUAUCUUUAUAUCUAAACUAAACUUGUUCUCUUCUUUUCAUAUGUCUUCCAACAACACUGCUUCAAGAUUAAACCCUACUAGCUCCUUUUCCCUCAUGAAUCUAUGUGGGAGGGUCAUCAUCGAUGGUUCCAACUUUAUGGAUUCGAUCCGGAACAUCAGGAUGGUGACUCGCUACGAGGACAAGGAAUAUGUCCUUGAUAAGGAGCUAAAGGAGAUCGAUGAGUCCACUGCUACUCCAUAGGAGAUCGCUAACUUCCAAACUCAUGAAAGAGAUGUCACCAAAGUGGCAUGCAUCAUGAUGGCCACCAUGAUAGCUGAACUCUAAAUGUCCUAUGAGGACUACUACCCUUUUGAGAUGCACCAAGAUAUGAUGGAAAGAUACCAUCAGAGUGCUCGUCAAGAGUGGUAUGAAAUAAUAUCCUCCAUGAUAACAACCAGGAUGAAGGACGGAGAAUCCGUCACGAGCCACAUGCAGAAAAUGCAAAGGUAUGUGGAUCGUUUGCUGAAGCUUAAUGUGAACUUCCCCGAGGAGCUUGCAAUAGAUAUCACUUUGCACUCCUUACCCUCGUGUUAUGAUCAAUUCCACAUGACAUACCACAUGAAUAAGGAAGAAGUCACACUCAGCAAACUUCAGGGACUCCUAAAGACCGCAAAAACAGGUCUUAAAGGUAAGUCGGUUGUUAACACUCCUACUCCUACUCCAAACUCCACCCCUGUUUGGCAAUUGGGAAAGGUAGAGGGAAGAAGAGGAAGAUUUCUUCGAAGGGUACCAAGGCUAGGACCCUUGAUGGCUCUUCUUCAAGUGGAACCAAAAAAGGUUUCGCCACUCCGUCUUCUGACCCAAAAGAGGCUGAAUUCUUCUAUUGCCAUGCAAAGUUGCAUUGGAAGCGAAACUGCCUAAAGUACCAGCAAAAUGUGAAGGAUGGGAAAGUUAAAGCCAACCAUGCAGGUAUUUACACUAUUCUAUCUAAUAACUUAUCCUAUUCUAACUCUUGGGUCCUUGAUACCGGUUGUGGUAUUCAUAUAUGUUCUGAUUUGCAGGGACUAAGAAGAAGUGAGAUUGUGGAGCAUGGAAAGAUAAACUUGAUCAUGGGAAUAGGAAAGAUUCACCUGUCACCAAGAUUGGAGUUUAUUCUUUGUUACUAAGUAGUGUGUUUACUUUAGAUUUGAAUAAAUGCUGCUAUUCACUAGAAAUGUCAAGAAAUAUUAUUUCCUUUCAUGCUUUGUACAAACAAGGAUUUACCUUUUCUUUUGAUAAUGAAAUUGGUGGAAUAAAUGCUUUCUUUAAUAAUGUUCUUUAUUUUAAAGCAUUACCUUGUGAUGGUGUGUAUGAAGCUGUAUCUGUUGUAGAUAAUCUAGGAAAUAAUGUGUUGUGUAUUUAUUCUGAUAAGUUAAAAACUAACUUGAAGAUCGAUUAGAUCUAUAAAACAGGUAAAGAAAUAAACGAGUAAACAGCAAGAACACAAUAAUGGAUCAAAUAUGUUGAAUGAUUAAUCAACAAUCCUCAGAAGAGCUCGAUAAAGAACUUCUACUGUAGAGGAUUAAAAGGGUUUACAAGAACGAUUAAAGAAAUCUGUAAACUAUCGUAAUUGCUAUCGUCUUCUAGAUCGUUAACCUAACAUGCAUGCAAGCACAUUAUUAUAUACUAAACCCUACAAGCUCACGGUUGGACAGGCCCAAAACCGGAGUGCAAAACUUUGGACUAUAAACUGAGCCCAAUGACGCAAUACAAAAUAAAUCUGCUACCCAACAAUCUCCCCCUUUGCGUCAAUUGGAGCGAGAUCAUUACUUCUUAUUUGGGCCAGCAGCAGCAGGAACCUUCUUCUUUACAGUCUGAAACAGACACGAGAUAAGAGUGAGUAUCGUUUGUCUGAAUCGGAUGUACCACUGAAUCAUGUCGUCCGCUGCAUUUUCUUUACACCUGUGGAUGAUCCCAUUCACAUGCUCAAGACAAGCAGUGGUAUAAAGAUGUUUAUCCGCUAAGGCAAAGAGACAUUUCUGUCCUUCAGCCCUAGUGAAUAUGACCGAGUUUCGCCUUGGGUCAAUCUUUCCCAUCUUCAUCUGGUUCAGAUCACUGGCUGAGCCAACAGGAGAGAUCUUCGGUUUCUUCUUGAAGACAUUGGCAACCUCCUGAUCCAUCAAGGCGACCUCCAUGAUAUAACAUACCAAGAUCCUUUUGAUAUGGUCAAUUAUCGGACCAUAUUCAGCUUCAUUCGUCAAAAGGAUGUUGUGCAGAACGAUCCAGUCAUGGGGGUUGAGGUUCGGUAGAUCUGCUAAAGAUAUGAGAUGUUCGGUUUUUGCAGACCCUCUGAUCACCCUGAACCGAACGUUGAUGAACCUCCCUUCAGUGUAUGGCUUCAGAACCUGAACGUUGACGAUCUUCUGAGCGCUCCAGGUUUUAUACUGGGGUUGAGCGGCCUUCAGAUAGAACUCAAUUAAUUCCCGAUCAACCUCCGGAUGAGGAUGAGGGACUUCAGAAACGUUGGCGAAGGCGUGAAAGAUGAACGCCUUUCGGGUUAAGGGCAUGUCGAACUGCGAGUUGACAGAAUUGUAGCAGUCAAAGGAGAUCACCGGUUCGAGCCAUAGGAUGCUCGGAGUAUCGAUUACCUCCUUAAUCAUCCUCUCUCGAGUCCAAGCAGGGAAAAGAGUCUUCCUGCUCUCGAGGAGAUUGUGGGCUUCUUUUUGUUUGCAUUCAGUUUCUUCAGCUUCUCGCGCCGCACGAACGUUAUCAUCUUCAACAUUGCGACGAAUUUUGCGUUUAAGCAAGUCGGCAAUGGUUUCUUGAUCAUCUUCCUCUUCAUCCUCAGCUAUCUUCUUUCCUUUAUCCUUCACACCCGAACCAGAGGUUUGACCUGUAGGAGGAGGUUCGGUUGUGUGAGCAGCUUUUGAGGAAGGAGGUGGUUUCGAUCCGGACUCCUUUUCUCCCCCUUGUUUCGGAGUGGACACGAAACUAGGUAGCCCUUCUAUUUUACUGAGCAGAUCCAGGGCAGGAGCGAGUUUUUCAGCAAGGGUUCGCCUCACCGAAUGGUUCAGGAUCGGAUCGUGUGCUUCCAGGAUGUUGGAUAUGGCAGAGUGUACAUCCGAAACACAUGUCUUGAUGACCUCCCGUUCGGAUCGAAGAGCGUCAAGUUGUUGCUGAGAGUUGGAAAGCUGAGCACUCUUGACCUUGAGGGCAGUGGUCUUCUGUGCUAGAACGUCCAUCAAUGAGUUUUCGGCGGCCAGAUCCUCUUGGAGUUUAGAGAGGCGCUCAUCGAUGGAGGCACGAAGGGCCGAGUUGUCGUCAUUGAUUGAUUGGCGAAGGGUGGCAAACGACUUCAACUCCGUGGAGACGAACGUGGCCAACUGUUGAACAAUUGGUUCCAACGUUGUCUUUGUAGCAUCGACACUCUCCUGUAAGGACUUUAACAGGUUGGAGGCGUCAGAGAAUAGUUUAUCGACUUUUUCGGUCNUUUGUCGAAGCGUCAAUUGCUGCAGUGGCAGAAGCAACAGAAUCAUGUUGAGCCCGGGAAAAGGCAUCAACGAUCUUCUGAAGAGCAGCUUCAGAGAGAGAGGAUUGAGAAUUGGAGGAUGAAGCAAUAAGCAGGUCAACCUUCUCAUGCAGCUCCUUAAGAUGUUUCUUCGUUACUGGAGCUUCCUCAUCAUCGUCGCUUUGGACCUGAAACGGACUGAAAUAGACCGAAUCAAAUUGCAUGUUCUCCCCGCCAAGGAAAGGGUUAUCUCCGUUAGAGGCAUGACCUGGAGAUGGUGGUGGUGGAGAAGCCGGUGGUGUUNGGUAGGUUCGGUUGGUGUUUGAGUGGGGGUAGGUUCGGGUGGUUGUUGGGUUUCGGUUGUGUGUAUGGGUUCGGUUACUGGUGGUGGUUCGGUUGCAUCGGUAUGAACCCCCGUAUCAGAUACGUUGGUUGUAACCUUUGCAGUAGCUGUUGUGGUUGUAUUAGUGAAAAUGGGUGGUGGUAUAGUGAAAGAGGUUUUAGGAAUGUUGGUAGUGGGGGUUAUGGUGGGAAUGGAAGUGGGAAUUGUUUGAGUAGGAGAGGAAAUUGGUGAGUUAUGGAUUUCCAUGUCAGGGGUAGGGGAUCUGGGUGGGGUGUUGCCUCUUGGAGGGGUGUUGCCUCUUUGAGAGCCGUCCGAAUCCGAACUCUCACCCUCCGACUCCUCGGAAGAGGAAGCGAUAAUGAGCUUUCUCUUAGGUUGAGUCUUUCGCCUCUUCUGCUGCGGGGACUAAGCAACUUUAGGAGCCUUCCUCUUUUUAGGAGAAGGACCUUUAGCCCCUUUGGUCACUUGUUUCCCUUUAUCUGCCUUUUUGGCUCUAUGAACAGGCUUAUCAGCAUCGUGAAUAGACUUGAGCAUCUCCGGUGUGAGAUCCCUCGGACCAGACCUUUUGAACUCCUUGUAGGUCCGAAUGAUCCUACUGUCAGCUGGAACAUCAGCGUACAUGGUCUCCGGGAUUGAACCAAUGAAAGGGAACUUCGAUGCAUCUGAGACGAUGAUCUUCAUGGUAUGGAAUGUACCAAUCGAAGACAUCAAUGCACCGACAACAGUGGAGACAUCGUGCUUAUCCAUCGCCCACUUAGUAAUGAUGGUCCAAAACCUGGCAUACGACACCUCAGAAUGUCGUGAAGAAGAGGAUAAACUCUGGAUGAGUUGUUGCCAGAGAACCAACCCAUAGUCGACAUUGACGCUGUUGUAAAUCCCAUACAGAAUGGAUAGGAAGAGUCGACUAGAGCCGUCUGAACCGGAGCUCCGUUCUGAAAGACCCUUGAAAAGGACAGUGAACAUGCCGUUCCACUGUGGCGGCAAACACGAUUUUUUAAACUUUGCGACGGAGGUGAGCAACUCUGUGUACCCCAUAUUAUAGAACAUACUGUUGAGAUGGCCCAACGGAAUUGUCUCCGGAUUAACCCUAGCAGUGAAGCAAAUCGUUGCUUGGAAAUCGAAGCUUUGUGAUCAGAAACCUCGAAGAAGAUUCUAUCGACCGCUUUGUCAUAAUGUGCAGUCGCAUAGAUCUGCGAUAAAAGCUCCAUAGGCACUGAUUCCACCCGUGAAAGUGCAGGUGCUAUUGGGGAAUACUUCAGGCACUCGAUGAUUGGGAACAUGUAGGAGUCGUACGCCUGAGGGAUUAAAUCGAUCACCAAACACUGUUGAGGGCGAAUGGGAAGGAUGUGGGAAGGAGCGUGAACAGACGAUGAUUCUGCCAUUGUUGAAGUUUGGGAAGAAGAUGAUGAACAGUAAGGGUUUCAGGGAAUUUUUGCUCUCUUGGGAAUUUUGAUGCAGUAAAGAGGUAAAAGGGAGAUGAGGUCGCCUUUUAUACUAGGGUUUAAGGAGAGAGAAAUAUCUUCCCAAAUCUUCUAUCGAAAUACGAAAGGUUUUCCCCGGAAUCGGACUGGUGCGUGACAGUUAAGGUAAGCGAUGAUCACGCAUGAGAGAGAAUGUCAGAUUCCUUGGAACACGCUGCCCAACAAGCGCCGUUUCUGAAGAAACCGUUUCAAAUUCACACUCGCCUUUCUGUGCCAGAGAGGAACCAUUUCAAAUUCUCACACGCGUCCACGACGUCAGUUAAAGAGUGGACGUUUCAAAUUCGCAUGCGUUCCCUUUUUACCGCCGGUUGAAAUUCAAUCCAUAAGACUCCCGCCUGAGUCAGCAACCCUUCAUCUUAUCCUUGUAACGGCAUCUUUUGAAUAAUACGCCCACGUGGAUUAAUUUUGACCACAUCUUUAUAAUUAAUCACCGAUCCAAAGAAAAAGGCCUGAAAUUAUUAGUACCAGAUUUUUGGAAAAUCAAAGAUUUUCGUGCUAAGGGUGUAAAAAAAAGGAAACAAAGCAAAUCUUUUUAGGAAUAAAUGUGAUGUCAAUAAAGACACGAAACAAAUGAUCUCGGGCACGAAUCUCAUCCUUCAAAGUCAAGAGAGACCUUAAAGUGUUAAUGUGGUUUCCCGUUGAAUAACGAUCAAACACUUAUUAAGAAGUGUUGAAAGGCUUCUUUUAAUUAGGCUUCUUAAGGUGGCUUUAGCUUUGGUUCAACAAUCCUAAUCUUGAAAUAAGAUAGAAAGUGAACAAAGUACUUGUGAGACCGGUGUAGUCUGUGGAACAGGUAGGCAUGUAAUAAUUUUAAAGUAGCUGGUAAAUAGAAAAUCUCAAAAAAAAUAAAACUGGAUCCCAAGGGAAGAAACGUUAUGGUGUUUAACAAUUUCAUAGGAAUCACUCAAAAAGAAAAAAAACUUGAGAUUUCAUGAGGAUACGUCUGUCAAUUCAUUAGUGAAAACUUGAGCAAAUUGAUUGUUCACUGUCAAUUCAGAUUUAGUAUUGAAUUUUGGGUUUCACUCAGCCCGUAGUGGCACGAAACUAAGAUCAUAAACACAGUUUUUGAGUAACCAUAAACCUCAGUGGUAAUUUCUGAGAGUCUCAAGGGUUACAUUGAUGAAACGGAUUUAAUGGAGAAAAGUAAUGGAGAUGGUGUAAGAAAGAAAAGUACCUCUGCUAUAAAAGUAGGACCAAGCAGAAAACUCUUAUCUCAUGUGAGAAGAGAGUUCGGUAGCUCUUGAUUAGAAUAAAUGUGAUAGCCUAAUUGGGAAGACAAGGUUUGUGUAUACCAAGUCAUUAAGGCUGUUAUUCAGAAUCUGAUGAGGCUUUGGGUACAUAAAGCAGCAUGCUUCUAGGGACACUUAACUAAUCCAUCAAACAUAUCCCCAUAAACAAACGAACACACAUAUAAAAAUUAAAGACAAAAGGAAAAGAAAGAACAAAAUAUUUUUGGAGUUUUGAUAUAUAAAAAAAUAAGACUAAGAAAGAAAGAAAAAAACUGUGGAAAAGAAAAGAAAAAAAAACAAAAAAAA